UGCUGCACAUACACUAAAAAAAAAAAAUUGGGACAAUACAGAGAAGAUUGGCAUGGGCUCUGCACAAGGAUGACACACAUACACAAACUCAUGAAGUGUUU
rnacentral:snRNA from 1 species